ACCUACGGGGGGCAGCAGUGGGGAAUAUUGGGCAAUGGGCGAAAGCCUGACGCAGCGACGCCGCGUGAGGGAUGAAGGUCUUCGGAUCGUAAACCUCUGUCAGCAGGGAAGAACGGUCACUGUGCUAAUCAGCAGUGAAUUGACGGUACCUGCAAAGGAAGCACCGGCUAACUCCGUGCCAGCAGCCGCGGUAAUACGGAGGGUGCGAGCGUUAAUCGGAAUUACUGGGCGUAAAGCGCUCGUAGGCGGUAUGUCAAGUCAAGGGUGAAAUCCCCGCGCUCAACGUGGGAACUGCCUUUGAAACU
rnacentral:rRNA from 1 species